UGGGCGGGUCCUUGAAAAUUUUUAGCAUCCAAAAAGUUUUCAAAUUUGUUCUAAAGAAUAUGAAAUACGUCUUGGGAUCCUAGGGUCAUUUUCUCCUAACCCUGAACUUACUGUCUCCAACUUCCCAAUCGGCAGCGAUGGCAACCUUAACACUGCCUCGCUCAUCGCUGUAGGACUCCUCUAUGUUUCCUCAUCUUGAUGAAGACAAUUGAGUGAGCCAACUAAUGAAGCUAUUCAAGGGCUUGGAAGGAGCUCUUGUGUUAGUCAAGAACUUGACUUACAGGAUUUUAAUAUUGAAUGUGCUUAGCUACUGGUGUAUUCAAUUCUACUCAACUAAAUUCAAUACUUACAGCUUUGGUCAUCUAUUACAAGAUGUCAAAGAUGAUACAAAGCCUUUUUGCAGUGUUGAGUUUAAACUUGUACUGAAGAAAGGUUGUUCAAGUGCUUAAUAUUCUCGGCAUGGUUAUAGGUAGAGCCUUUGGACAAAAGUGGGUGGCACUUAUCCACUUGAGAUCGACAAAGCAAUUGAUCUUGAAGCACACUUUUGUUAUUUUGUCCUUGUAAUCAAAUUAUAAGUCUUGUAAUAUAAGUCUAUAUGUCAAUAGAACUUUUGUUAUUUUGUCCU